rnacentral:rRNA from 1 species
UACGUAGGUGGCAAGCGUUGUCCGGAUUUACUGGGCGUAAAGAGCGCGCAGGCGGUUGAUUAAGUCGAAUGUGAAAGCCCCCGGCUCAACUGGGGAGGGUCAUUCGAUACUGAUCAACUUGAAGGCAGGAGAGGGAAGUGGAAUUCCCGGUGUAGUGGUGAAAUGCGUAGAUAUCGGGAGGAACACCAGUGGCGAAGGCGACUUCCUGGCCUGUUCUUGACGCUGAGGCGCGAAAGCUAGGGGAGCAAACGGGG